AAAUUGAAGAGUUUGAUCAUGGCUCAGAUUGAACGCUGGCGGCAGGCCUAACACAUGCAAGUCGAACGGUAACAGGAAGCAGCUUGCUGCUUUGCUGACGAGUGGCGGACGGGUGAGUAAUGUCUGGGAAACUGCCUGAUGGAGGGGGAUAACUACUGGAAACGGUGGCUAAUACCGCAUAACGUCGCAAGACCAAAGAGGGGGACCUUCGGGCCUCUUGCCAUCAGAUGUGCCCAGAUGGGAUUAGCUUGUUGGUGAGGUAACGGCUCACCAAGGCGACGAUCCCUAGCUGGUCUGAGAGGAUGACCAGCCACACUGGAACUGAGACACGGUCCAGACUCCUACGGGAGGCAGCAGUGGGGAAUAUUGCACAAUGGGCGCAAGCCUGAUGCAGCCAUGCCGCGUGUAUGAAGAAGGCCUUCGGGUUGUAAAGUACUUUCAGCGGGGAGGAAGGUGUUGUGGUUAAUAACCGCAGCAAUUGACGUUACCCGCAGAAGAAGCACCGGCUAACUCCGUGCCAGCAGCCGCGGUAAUACGGAGGGUGCAAGCGUUAAUCGGAAUUACUGGGCGUAAAGCGCACGCAGGCGGUCUGUCAAGUCGGAUGUGAAAUCCCCGGGCUCAACCUGGGAACUGCAUUCGAAACUGGCAGGCUUGAGUCUUGUAGAGGGGGGUAGAAUUCCAGGUGUAGCGGUGAAAUGCGUAGAGAUCUGGAGGAAUACCGGUGGCGAAGGCGGCCCCCUGGACAAAGACUGACGCUCAGGUGCGAAAGCGUGGGGAGCAAACAGGAUUAGAUACCCUGGUAGUCCACGCCGUAAACGAUGUCUACUUGGAGGUUGUGCCCUUGAGGCGUGGCUUCCGGAGCUAACGCGUUAAGUAGACCGCCUGGGGAGUACGGCCGCAAGGUUAAAACUCAAAUGAAUUGACGGGGGCCCGCACAAGCGGUGGAGCAUGUGGUUUAAUUCGAUGCAACGCGAAGAACCUUACCUGGUCUUGACAUCCACGGAAGUUUUCAGAGAUGAGAAUGUGCCUUCGGGAACCGUGAGACAGGUGCUGCAUGGCUGUCGUCAGCUCGUGUUGUGAAAUGUUGGGUUAAGUCCCGCAACGAGCGCAACCCUUAUCCUUUGUUGCCAGCGGUCCGGCCGGGAACUCAAAGGAGACUGCCAGUGAUAAACUGGAGGAAGGUGGGGAUGACGUCAAGUCAUCAUGGCCCUUACGACCAGGGCUACACACGUGCUACAAUGGCGCAUACAAAGAGAAGCGACCUCGCGAGAGCAAGCGGACCUCAUAAAGUGCGUCGUAGUCCGGAUUGGAGUCUGCAACUCGACUCCAUGAAGUCGGAAUCGC
rnacentral:rRNA from 4 species